UCUAUCUAUAAACUGCUGCUGACACCCUGCUAUGGGUGGAUGUGAGCGGGUGAGAUGGGGUUAGCUUUUAUUGAUACCUUGAAGCAUACUAGUGUUCAAAUUAUUAUUAGUAGUAUUAUUCUCCGCCCCCGCCCCCCAACAGCCCUAAGCCAUUUGUAUCAAUUUCCUAUGCCUUCAAGGAUGGGAUAUGCCUGUCAUUUUUUGAUAAAAUGAUUGUUUCCUGCCCUGACCCCAUGAGAUAAGAUGGACUAUAAAUAAAAUGAAGCAAAUUGCUUGCAAUCAGCUAGCCUGACCUUCUGAAGAAAUAAAAGUCACAUCUCAAAAAAGCCUCAAGUGUAGCUGUGUUAACCAUUUAAAUCUAUUUUAGCAAUCAGAGCGGACACAUUUAAAAUCACCCACUGCCUUCCACUGCCAAAACUAAGCAGUACAACCAGUCCACAAUGCUGGCGACAAAGGCCCUAAUUGGGAUAGUUUUUCCACAUGAGGUGGACCUGUGGAACGGUUAAUAGUUUUUGGUUAAAAGUUUUACUAUAAAAGGUCAACAGAUAUAUUGUACACUAAAGCUGGAGCUGAUCUCAUUAUUGGGUGGACAAAACAAAAACUUGCUAUACAAAGAAUUCUGUUAUUUGUGAUAGUGGCAGCCAUGCAAGUAUAACCUAAGAAUUAACACAGCGAAGUAACAUGAUUGGACCAUGGGUAGAGCAAAGUGUGCAACAUUCCCUUGGCCAAAAAAACCCCUAACCAACCAAGUAAAAGUUGCUAAAGGGGAAACACAUGGGUCAAAUUAUGUACUUUAUCGUUUUCUUACUUCUGGAAAUGAAAUAGUUGGACAUCGGCUUCAGAUACUGGACAGAUGUUCUAAGUUAAUAUAAAGAAAAUGUUCUUGCACAAUUUUUCAUUCUCUGUAUUUACAUUGUAUAGCUGAGUAAACUGUAUAGAAUGGGGGGGGGGCAGUCUGGAUUAUAUCCAUGGGUCCCUUCCAGGCCUGAGAGCUUGUAUCUGUGGGGUUAGAACAGGGGUCAGCAACCUUUUUCAGCCAUGGGCCAGUCCACCGUCCCUCAGACCAUGUGGUGGGCCGGACUAUAUUUUUUUGGGGGGGGGGGGAUGAAUGAAUUCCUAUGCUCCACAAAUAAUCCAGAGAUGCAUUUUAAAUAAAAGGGCACAUUCUACUCAUGUAAAAACACGCUGAUUCCUGGACCGUCUGCGGGCUGGAUUAAGAAGGUGAUUGGGCCGCAUCCGGCCCCCGGGCCUUAGGUUGCCUACCCCUGGGUUAGAAUAUGUAAGAUGAAACCUGUUGAACCAGUUAAACCAGUUCCUUUGUUAGCUCAGCUAAAUGUUCAUCACCAGCAUCUUAAACAGUGAGUUCUGUUGUCAUAGAGACAAAUGGGUGGGUCUUUUCCCACCUCACCUGACUGGAUGCCGCAUCAUCCUAGGAUUGAAAACGUUAGGCCAAGAGGGGCUGUGUGAGAGAGAGUUUUGGCUAACGCUGGAAGCUGGAGACACAGAGGCUUGGUCUGUGCUGGACUCAAAAGCUGUGGAUUGGGGAUCCCCCUGGGAACCUAAUGAGGAGGCAAGAUCUGUUGGUGUGUUUAUGCUGUAAGCCCUUCUCUGCCAAUCCUAUGUUCAGGUUGUAUAUAUGUGUGUAAAUAAAGACAUAACUGUCUCCUUUGAGCUUCUUUCCUGAAACCGGAAACCUGGGUAAGCAUUGGGUAAGUCUCUUGCCAUUUGGAGAUUGGGGUGAACAAUACCAAUUGCAAAUGCAACACCUCCUCCUACUUAGUUUUUGAAUACAGUAAGCAUAUUUUAUUUUAAAAAGUGGGGUAGGAGAAUGGAAUCUACUUAAGGUACAGGGAAAGAGUAAAGAGUUAAACCAUGACAGGUGCCACUUGGCCUACACAGCAUCAAAAGCAUAUUUGUUCCUUAAAAUACUGUAGCACAGGAAAAAUGUUGUUUGUGGGGAUCAAUUGUCCUCCUUGCCAGAAUAGAAAUUCUAAUAUUUUUCUAGAAUAGUUUCAGAGGAGAUUGGUUGAGGUACAACUAUAGCAGCCUUUGCCAACUUGGUGGCUUCCAGAGGUGUUAGAUGAAAACUUCCAUCCGAUUUGAUGGGGAAGUUUUUAUUAUUCUUAUUAUACUUUUUCUUUUGCAGGUAACAACAAAGAGCAACUGAAUUCAGCCUGGAAAUCUGGAAAGUCACAGGAGAGAUGCAUACAUAUGUAAGAUGGGAUGAGAUUUCAUAGAGCUGGAUCUUGGACUUGGGUGUGAAAGCCAAGUGAUGUUAAAGGUGAACACAAAGGAGAUAGACAUCGCUGCAACCUUUUCCAUAUUGUGUUCUUUGUAUAUGGGUUGCGGUAUUUUAUCUAAAAUUGUUUUGGAAAUUCAGGAGUACCCAUAUUUUAUUUUAUAUCAUUUAGUCUUUGAGGUCAAUCCAUUUCUUAUUUGUUUUAGUGAUGAUAAAAUUACAUUGACAUCGUUGGAAUGCAUCGUGAGAUAAGGCUAGGUGUGGUAGCCCCUAUCCACUCCCUUGAUUUCCUGUAAAAAAUAAUAAUAAUAGCCAGGCUGGACCUUUUUUUUUUUUUUUACACAAACACAAACUUUUAAAGUAUCAUUUACCAUUUCUUGAGUCAAUUGGGUGGAAGUCAAAUUAGAAGCAAUUGGGAAGGAUAUAAAAUUUUAGGUAUUAUCAUUAUUUGAAUAAACACAGUUAUGAAGUUGAAAGAUGUAGUUUAUCCCAUCAACCCAAGGCUCCUAACUUUUUAUAAGAGUAUAAUUUAAAAUGUAUAAUUUAUUCAAUUUAUAUGGGAUUUUUACCCCUAAAAAUUAGUCCCACAAUGUGGAAUAGGUGUUUGCUGAAGCUUAAUUUGCUCCAUUGGGCUUAUAUUGUGGUACAUGAUCCAUGAUUUAUUGAGAUUGGUUUUAAGGCCUGCCAUUUUUUCAAACUGACCUAAUUCUGAUUUUAGCAUUGGUGAGGUGUCCAGUGGAUUAGUUAACAUGCAAAUCAUGUCAUCAGCAUAAAUGCUCUUCAUCCUUUCCUCAGUCACCGCUAAUAUGAGGGUUGAAUUGCAGUGAAAUUGCUAAAGGUUCUAGAGAAAAGGGAAAGAACAGUGAGGACAGAAUAUACUGUAUCAUUUAUCUUGCAUCUGAUGGACAACAUGGUUCAAAGCAUCUGGAGGGCACUAGGAUGGUAAAGGCUGGGCUAUAUUAUCAAUUUUGAAACCAUCUUCUGCCCCUCGCCUGGUCAGAGAAUGUUCUAGGGCCUUUUUAACAUUCUGGUAGGUUUUAUUACAUUCUAUGCUAGGAAUGUGCUGCUCUUUUUCAGUUAGUGUGCCUAGGAUUUGGGAAUCAUUCUGAAAUGUUGGCCAAAUUAUCACUUGUUUUGCGGGGAAAUAACAUUUUCCUAGCAAUAAAUAGCUUUUCUUGUUGUUGCUGGUAAAGAAAAAAAGAAAGGAAAGUGUUUCUUCUUCCAGAUAGCAUGUCAAUUGCAGCAGCAUGCUUGGUGUGGAAUGUGGUUCUGGCAUGUCAGAAGCACUUUUUGGUUAAUGUCAGUGAUGUCACUGGUGACAAGCACCACUCUUCCCCACCCCCUGGUGUUACUUUUAAAGUUGCUGUUGUUGAAGUUGUUUUAAAAAACAUGUUUCUUAAAAAAAAUCUUUUCAGGAGUUAAAGGUCUUUAAUGAGCUUUCCUUCUGUAGCAUAACAGCAGGAGUGCCAACUGCAGCCUUGUUAAAUGUGUAACGAGCUGGGUAAACCCCAUCAAGACUAUUUCCUCCCUUGCAAUAUUGUCCUGACAUUUCCUAAUAAAUUAUAAUCAUAAUAAUA